rnacentral:rRNA from 1 species
CACUUUCAGCAACGGAUCUCUUGGCUCUCGCAU